GAACGCUGACAGAAUGCUUAACACAUGCAAGUCAACUUGAAUUUGGGUUUUUAACUUAGGUUUGGGUGGCGGACGGGUGAGUAACGCGUAAAGAACUUGCCUCACAGCUAGGGACAACAUUUGGAAACGAAUGCUAAUACCUAAUAUUAUGAUAAUAGGGCAUCCUAUAAUUAUGAAAGCUAUAAGCGCUGUGAGAGAGCUUUGCGUCCCAUUAGCUAGUUGGAGAGGUAACGGCUCACCAAGGCGAUGAUGGGUAGCCGGCCUGAGAGGGUGAUCGGCCACAAGGGGACUGAGACACGGCCCUUACUCCUACGGGAGGCAGCAGUGGGGAAUAUUGGACAAUGGACCAAGAGUCUGGUCCAGCAAUUCUGUGUGCACGAUGAAGUUUUUCGGAAUGUAAAGUGCUUUCAGUUGGGAAGAAAGAAAUGACGGUACCAACAGAAGAAGUGACGGCUAAAUACGUG
rnacentral:rRNA from 1 species